rnacentral:rRNA from 1 species
UACGAAGGGGGCUAGCGUUGUUCGGAAUUACUGGGCGUAAAGCGCACGUAGGCGGGUCGUUAAGUCAGGGGUGAAAUCCUGGAGCUCAACUCCAGAACUGCCUUUGAUACUGAAGAUCUUGAGUUCGGGAGAGGUGAGUGGAACUGCGAGUGUAGAGGUGAAAUUCGUAGAUAUUCGCAAGAACACCAGUGGCGAAGGCGGCUCACUGGCCCGAUACUGACGCUGAGGCACGAAAGCGUGGGGAGCAAACAGGAUU